rnacentral:misc_RNA from 1 species
UACGUAGGGGGCGAGCGUUGUCCGGAUUUAUUGGGCGUAAAGAGCUCGUAGGCGGUUCGUCGCGUCGGCUGUGAAACCCUGAGGCUCAACCUCAGGCCUGCAGUCGAUACGGGCGGACUUGAGUUCGGCAGGGGAGACUGGAAUUCCUGGUGUAGCGGUGAAAUGCGCAGAUAUCAGGAGGAACACCGGUGGCGAAGGCGGGUCUCUGGGCCGAUACUGACGCUGAGGAGCGAAAGCGUGGGGAGCAAAAGGG